rnacentral:rRNA from 1 species
GACGAACUUUGGCGGCGUGCUUAACACAUGCAAGUCGAACGGAAAGGCCCUGCUUUUGUGGGGUGCUCGAGUGGCGAACGGGUGAGUAACACGUGAGUAACCUGCCCUUGACUUUGGGAUAACUUCAGGAAACUGGGGCUAAUACCGGAUAGGAGCUCCUGCUGCAUGGUGGGGGUUGGAAAGUUUCGGCGGUUGGGGAUGGACUCGCGGCUUAUCAGCUUGUUGGUGGGGUAGUGGCUUACCAAGGCUUUGACGGGUAGCCGGCCUGAGAGGGUGACCGGCCACAUUGGGACUGAGAUACGGCCCAGACUCCUACGGGAGGCAGCAGUGGGGAAUAUUGCACAAUGGGCGGAAGCCUGAUGCAGCAACGCCGCGUGCGGGAUGACGGCCUUCGGGUUGUAAACCGCUUUCGCCUGUGACGAAGCGUGAGUGACGGUAAUGGGUAAAGAAGCACCGGCUAACUACGUGCCAGCAGCCGCGGUGAUACGUAGGGUGCGAGCGUUGUCCGGAUUUAUUGGGCGUAAAGGGCUCGUAGGUGGUUGAUCGCGUCGGAAGUGUAAUCUUGGGGCUUAACCCUGAGCGUGCUUUCGAUACGGGUUGACUUGAGGAAGGUAGGGGAGAAUGGAAUUCCUGGUGGAGCGGUGGAAUGCGCAGAUAUCAGGAGGAACACCAGUGGCGAAGGCGGUUCUCUGGGCCUUUCCUGACGCUGAGGAGCGAAAGCGUGGGGAGCGAACAGGCUUAGAUACCCUGGUAGUCCACGCUGUAAACGGUGGGUACUAGGUGUGGGGUCCAUUCCACGGGUUCCGUGCCGUAGCUAACGCUUUAAGUACCCCGCCUGGGGAGUACGGCCGCAAGGCUAAAACUCAAAGGAAUUGACGGGGCCCCGCACAAGCGGCGGAGCAUGCGGAUUAAUUCGAUGCAACGCGUAGAACCUUACCUGGGUUUGACAUGGAUCGGGAGUGCUCAGAGAUGGGUGUGCCUCUUUUGGGGUCGGUUCACAGGUGGUGCAUGCCUGUCGUCAGCUCGUGUCGUGAGAUGUUGGGUUAAGUCCCGCAACGAGCGCAACCCUUGUUCACUGUUGCCAGCACGUUAUGGUGGGGACUCAGUGGAGACCGCCGGGGUCAACUCGGAGGAAGGUGGGGAUGACGUCAAGUCCUCAUGCCCCUUAUGUCCAGGGCUUCACGCAUGCUACAAUGGCUGGUACAGAGAGUGGCGAGCCUGUGAGGGUGAGCGAAUCUCGGAAAGCCGGUCUCAGUUCGGAUUGGGGUCUGCAACUCGACCUCAUGAAGUCGGAGUCGCUAGUAAUCGCAGAACAGCAACGCUGCGGUGAGUACGUUCCCGGGGCC